rnacentral:rRNA from 1 species
UCAAUGGGCGCAAGCCUGAACGAGCGAUGCCGCGUGAGUGAAGAAGGCCUUCGGGUCGUAAAGCUCUGUUGCGGGGGAAAAAAGGCAGCAUCAGGAAAUGGGUGCUGACUGAUGGUGCCCCGCCGGAAAGUCACGGCUAACUACGUGCC